rnacentral:rRNA from 1 species
GACGGAGGAUGCAAGCGUUAUCCGGAAUUAUUGGGCGUAAAGCGUCCGCAGGUGGCUGUUCAAGUCUGCUGUCAAAGCGCAGAGCUUAACUCUGUACAGGCGGUGGAAACUGAAGAGCUAGAGUAUGGUAGGGGUAGAGGGAAUUCCCGGUGUAGCGGUGAAAUGCGUAGAGAUCGGGAAGAACAUCGGUGGCGAAAGCGCUCUACUGGACCGCAACUGACACUCAGGGACGAAAGCUAGGGGAGCGAAUGGG